rnacentral:rRNA from 1 species
UAGGGAAUCUUCGGCAAUGGGGGGAACCCUGACCGAGCAACGCCGCGUGAGUGAAGAAGGUUUUCGGAUCGUAAAGCUCUGUUGUUAAGGAAGAACGAGUGUGAGAAUGGAAAGUUAAUACUGUGAUGGUACUUAACCAGAAAGGGACGGCUAACUACGUGCCAGCAGCCGCGGUAAUACGUAGGUCCCGAGCGUUGUCCGGAUUUAUUGGGCGUAAAGCGAGCGCAGGCGGUUAGAUAAGUCUGAAGUUAAAGGCAGUGGCUCAACCAUUGUAGUCUUUGGAAACUGUUUAACUUGAGUGGAGAAGGGGAGGGUGGAAUUCCAUGUGUAGCGGUGAAAUGCGUAGAUAUAUGGAGGAACACCGGUGGCGAAAGCGGCUCUCUGGUCUGUAACUGACGCUGAGGCUCGAAAGCGUGGGGAGCGAACAGA